CCACCCCCCCCCCUCCGAUGAUCUCUGCUCCGGCAACGGCCACCAGCCUUCUGGUUCUUUGACACACCAACCCACACAACCCCCCUGUGUCCACGAUGAUCGCCGGCCACUACAGUUGGUGGCGGCGCGUGAAAUAGCGAGCGGCGACAAGAGAGAGAGAGAGAGAGAGAGAGAGAGAGAGAUAGACUGGGAGUAGAGAUAGACUGAGGAGGUAGGUAACGACGUCAUAUGGCGGCGGCGGUGGUGAACGACGGUUCCGGCGGCAGUGGAUGACGUUGAAAACGAAAGGUCCGGUCCAAGAGAUGGUCGGGUGGUUCAGUUGCGGGUCAGUCUUGGUUGCACAAGUUCGGGUCAACAAGAGGUUCAUAUAGUUCGGUUUCGGGUCUCGGUUAGUUCAGCCGCGGUCAAACACAACUCAGAUUUCAGUUCAGGCUCUCGGGUCUCUUGGUUCGUGGUUCGCGUCAGAUUCGGCUCGGCACGGGUCAACUCGGUCAAACCGAGUCAACUCAGCUGACUCGGUCAACUCAGUCAGCCAACUCGACAUAUCGAUACGAAAGAUUUGGUAAAGAUAACGACACGUUCAUAGUUUAUUAUAUAUAAUUAAUGGUUGUUUACUUACGCGAAAUCGAGCUCCCGAACCGAUCAAACACAUGAAUUAUUAGUUAAAAGUACUUGGAUUAUUAUUUAGCUUGUUUAUAUAAAUUGAUUAUAUACAUAUACGUUGUUGAAUCUUGAUUGAG
rnacentral:lncRNA from 1 species